AGUAAAAGUUUAAAUACCUACACAUUUAAUUCGUGUAAUAAAUUAACUGAGUGGAAAGAGUUAAAUAUUAUUAUGUAUUUACUUGUAACAUUUACAUGUUUUAUAAUCACUGCACAUAAACCUAAUAAUAUUAAGUAAAUUUUACUUUUUAAGUUUAGUUAAAAUUUCAAAUUAAACCGCGCAUGCGUGUUUGGAGACGCUGUACCCGCGCUGUGGAUCAGUCGGUUGGGGAUCAUCACGGAGGUACAGCACGGCGUGGCUGGAGCUGGAGUUUGGCGUGUUCGAGAAACAAAGCGUAGAGCUGAGACGUGAAUCUGAAGAGGAUCUCUGAUGAUUGCCUGGAGGACAGACGAAGUGAUGCCAGUUUGCACAUUCUUAAAAUCCUUGUUGUCCGUGCUGUUGAAGGGGAGGAACCGGUUGGUGUAUCCAUAAUCCUUGAAGGAAAGGAAAUUUUGCAAGAAUGUGGCAAUACUGCAAAGGCAUGUGCACUGCUUAUGGGAAUAAUUUUUGCCAUAAACCUUGCAGACCCCCGAGCACUGCGCUACACAUUUGAGCUAUUUCAGAAAGUUCUUUUAGAACUUGGUGGGAUCAAGCUAUCACCAAAAGUGCAAGCUUUAAAGAUAAAGUUAUCAUCUUAAAGCAUUUGAUAUGGCUUGACUACUUGUCUUUACAUGUUCAGUGUUUACAUGUUCAGCUUAAAAUGUUUUAAUGCGUUAAGUUUCAAUGGCAUACUUUUAAGUGCACUAGUCCAGAGUGCUGAUUUGAAUGU